CUCCCUGAUGUUAGCGGCGGACGGGUGAGUAACACGUGGGUAACCUGCCUGUAAGACUGGGAUAACUCCGGGAAACCGGGGCUAAUACCGGAUGGUUGUUUGAACCGCAUGGUUCAAACAUAAAAGGUGGCUUCGGCUACCACUUACAGAUGGACCCGCGGCGCAUUAGCUAGUUGGUGAGGUAACGGCUCACCAAGGCAACGAUGCGUAGCCGACCUGAGAGGGUGAUCGGCCACACUGGGACUGAGACACGGCCCAGACUCCUACGGGAGGCAGCAGUAGGGAAUCUUCCGCAAUGGACGAAAGUCUGACGGAGCAACGCCGCGUGAGUGAUGAAGGUUUUCGGAUCGUAAAGCUCUGUUGUUAGGGAAGAACAAGUACCGUUCGAAUAGGGCGGUACCUUGACGGUACCUAACCAGAAAGCCACGGCUAACUACGUGCCAGCAGCCGCGGUAAUACGUAGGUGGCAAGCGUUGUCCGGAAUUAUUGGGCGUAAAGGGCUCGCAGGCGGUUUCUUAAGUCUG
rnacentral:rRNA from 1 species